CAUUGCUAGGAAGUUGUAAACAUGACAAUGCAAGAAAACACAAAGCAGAAUCUCUUAUUAUUUAAGCAGUAAUAAGAUAAGAGAGGAUAUUGCAUGUUCUAGGCAUGGUUGUUGUCCUCCACUGGAGGAUACUUCCCAUAAGGUGGUUUCUUGUAUGGUGGCUUUUCGUAUGGUGGCUUGUAGUAAGGUGGUUUUGGCUUGUAAAUAGGAGGCUUGUAAAUUGGAGGCUUGUAAAUUGGAGGCUUGUAAUAGAUGGGAGGCUUGUAAAUGGGAGGCUUCUUGAUUGGUUUGUAAUAAGUAGCAAAACCUUGAGGAAUGAGGAUUAGGGCAGCAAGAACAAACACCAGAAAGCUUGAAAAGGAAGCCAUGUUAAAGAUUGGUGUGCAUAACAGACUGAGUAAUGUGUUCAUAUAUAUAGUAGUUAGGAGGGGUCAUUGUAGGUGUAAGGUCUAAAUCUAGGUCAUUAAUGAUUUGCUUUGUCAUAUUAUGGUAUUUGCCAAAGUUCGGUGUGAUUAUUCAAAAUUGAUUUAGAAAUUAUACAUUGAUAUACACAAAUAUUUUACAUUCAUUUAAUACUUGUUAUUUUUUACUCAAUUGUGCUAAAAAAUAUUUUUUAUAGUAAUUAAAAUCCAUGAGAUAUAAAAAAUGAAGCAGUGACACUAUUAUAGAUAUGAAAAGUUUUUUUAUUUGGAUUGGACUUAGAACUGAUGUAAAAAGUGGCUCAGUAACAAAAUUGUAAUAAAUUACAAUUUUUUUAUACCAAUUACACUCAUAAUUGAAUAGAAAGUCGAUUUUCUAUACUAGUUAGACUUAGAACCGAUAUAGAAAGUGUGGUGGUAACAAAACUAUAAUAUUAAACAAACUUUUCUAUAUUCAUUGCAAUCAGAACAAAUAUAGAAAGUUGUUUUUCUAUCCUGGUUAGUCAAUAUAACCGGGAUAUAAUAUUUAAUAUUCAUCUCCUUCUUCUUUUUGCGCUUCAAUUUCGCAAAACUCUUUUUCUUGUUCUCUCUAUGCUUCACCUUCAUUACUUUUCGCUCUCUCUGUGCUUGGCUUCCAUUCAUUCUUGGUCUCUCUACGUUUCCAAUAGUUCACUAAAGUCGCUUGUGCUAUCGUUUGUGGUUGUUGUUUUUGUCAUCGCUGUGGUCGUUGUUUGUUGUCGAUUUUUUAGUCGCGGUGGUUGUUGAAGUUAUCACUGUUGUAGGUCAAGUUGUGGUUCAUCUUUGUCAUCAAUGGUUGGUAUUGCAGUGCCUAUUUUCAUGGAGGUUGGAGUCGUUGUUGUGGUGUCAUUGUUAUCACUGCAUUUUUUCUUCCUCUUGCGUUGAAGCUUUCUUGGUUGCGUUGUUGGUGUUGUAGUAGUGUGGUGAGUAACACUAAAGCUUCCUUGUGUGGUAUGGUAGGUCGUUGCACGUGGUGUUUUUUUGAUCGUUUUGUUGUGGUUCUUGGCAAAUUUUAAACCUUAAUUUACUAUUGUUGAGGAUGUUGUGUUUUGACGUAUUUAUUGUUACAUUGCAUUCGUUGGGAGGAAAAUUUAAUAUUGUGAGGUUUUCCAUUUUUUGGAGCUUUCCAUGUUUGUGUUAUUGCAUUCAAUUGGUGUGAUUACUCUUUUGUGUUAGAAUUUAUGAGAAAAAAGUGAGGUAUAAAAAUCAAUAGGUUUGAAUCUCUACAAAUGAUGAGGCUGCAAGUGAGUAGAUUUUUGGUGGUGAUCAAAAUCACCAAAUAAGUUGUAGGCAAAAGAAAAAUGGAGAUCAAUACGAGUCCUAAUUAGAAAGACUAUUUGGGAAUGAGAUAUCAAUCUCUUAAAUACGUUGAAGUGAAGCGUAUUGAACUAAAUCCAUUGAUUAAUUCUUUAUGUUGUGGUUUGGUAUGACUAAGUUCACAUAUUGGACUCAUGUUUAACUGUUUCUUAGAUCUACCUAAAAGUAGAGGUGUUGGUUUUUACAUAUAAUAAUGGAUAGGUGUUGAAUAAAUUUUAUACGCAUAACAAAUGAAUAUGGGAGCAGAGUAGAACAAUUUCUUGAGUUUGCAAAGACAAGUGUUCUAGACAAUAACAAAAGAUUUUAUUGCUCAUGUGUUAAUUGUUUGAAUGGAUGAAAACUAUCAACUGAAGUUCUUUGGGAGCAUGUUGUUCUCCUAAAGUUACACAAAAUGGACAUGACAUAGUGAAUUAAUAGACACACCUAGUGCAUCCAGAAUGCACUAAGUAUACUUUAUUGUCAAUGGUAUCAAAACACUUUGGAGUCAUAUUAUAUGCAUUUGGAGUCAUAUAAUAUGCAUUUGCAUUCUUAAGAGAAGAUUCUCGUGAUUCUUGGAUUAUAACACUGAUUCUUAUCAAAGAUUAACAUCUUUCUGGAGAACUUUCACUCGACUUAUUAAUCUGCUAGAUUGUGGCUUCCCUAUCCUUGUCUCAUUCUGCAUUCUUCUAUGAUUUAUUCAAGAGAUAGUCCUCUAUUAUACCUUUUUUUCUUAAAAAGAAUUUUUCCUCAAAUUUGUAUAACUUAAAUAUUCCUUAUCAUUUUAAGAAGUUAGAACAACUAGAAAAUGAGGUUGUGGUCAUAUUAUGCCUAUUAGAUAUGUACUUUACACACACGCAGACAAGGACACACACACACAGACUCACAAAUACACAGUCACACACACAAACACACACACACACACAUAAACACACACACACACACAUACAUAAAUGGACAUGCGCGCGCACACACAAAGACACACACACCCAGAAACACACAUACAUAGACACACACACACCCACAAACACACAUACAUAGACACACACACACACACAAACACAAACACACAUACACACAAACAUAGACACACACACCCACAAACACACAUACACACAAACAUAGACACACACUCCCACAAACACAAACAUAAACAUACACACAAACACACACACACACACACAAACAAAUUGACAUACAGAUAGACACAUACAGACACACAAGAAGUCAUCCCAAAAGAAGUCAUCCCCUUCUUAAGUGCUCAUAAAUAUAUUGUUAAAAGAAAGAAAUAAUCCACGAAUACUUCAGAAGUUGGUUAUUAAUGAGCACAACAAAACCUUUUUAAAGUGGUUCAAACAACAUGUUCAAGCUUACCAUACAACCUCUGACACAUUAAAUUGAAUACCAAGUGAACCAAACUUUGAUGUCAUAUGUUGGAGUGGGUAUGAUAUGAAAAAUUAUACAUUUCAUACAAAGAAAAUGAAAAAAAAAACACCACUCACAAUAAUGGAGUAAUAGUUGUGGUUGAGUCAAUGCAUUUCUUGAGUUCAAAGGAUAAAAAUCCUUUUAUGGCAUCAAUGUGCUACUUUCGUGUUAUGGAAGAUAUUUGGGUGAUAGAUUACACAAGUUUCAGAGUACUUAUUUUUAAAUGGGUUGAUUGUAAUAUUGGCAUAAGGACCAAUGAUCUAAGUUUUACAUUGUGCAGAUAUUACAAUUCUUGUUGCUUUCUUGAUGCCUUGGAGAUUUCUUGAGACCUUUGAAUGUUUCUUGUUGUGUACUUGUACUUAAACUCAAUGCUUUGUUAGAAUAUUGCAAAUGAAAUUCGUAAUGAGACAGGUUUCAAUAUAGAUAUAUAUAGGAUAUGACAUUCUGGUGUAGUUUAAUUGAUUAGAUAAAAACCUUAAUCGAUUAAGCCGAAGUUUAUGUUUCAAUGACAUUAUGGUGCAGUUUAAUCGAUUAGGUAAAACCUUAAUUGAUUAGGCCAAAGUUUCUGUUUUAAUCGAUUAGGUUAUUAAUGUUAUCAAUUAAAACAGACAAUUUUGUCAUUUUUUUCUUCUUAUGAGUUCUGACAUGCUUUAACUGAUUGCUAACUAACAUAAUGGAUUAAUAGCAUCAAAAUUGCAGAUUGUAAACUGUCUAACCCAGUUACAUUCAUCUAUACAUGAUAUAUGUAUCUAACAUGAUUUUCCUAUGAUUUUAAACAUUGAUCCAUCAAGAAAGAACAUAUGAUUAAUUCAUCAUCAAAAACAUUUUACCAAAUUUAGAAGGGAAAAGCUCCCCCUUUCAACACUAACCGGUAUAAAAAGUUACUUUUUAUAUACAAAUUUAUCUCUUUCCUAAUAAACUUUUUAUAUCGGUUUCAGAUUCAGUAUAAAAAGUCAAAUACUUUCUAUACCGAUUCAAAAACUGGUAUAAAUUUUUUUUAACUCAUAUAAAAAAGCUUUUCUGAUAUAGUGACUCUUCCUUUUCUUUUUAAAAUAUAAAAGUUUAUGUUUUUAAGACUAUUUUAAUCUUAUAAUAUGUGUCAAAUGAAUAUAAAUGUAUCUUAUCCUACUAUGACUUGAUUUAGACCCUUUAGUCUUGUGUGGCAUUGUUGCAAAUCAAGAAUCUCAACAAAAUCUAUAUAUUUAUCCAUAAAGAUCUCUAAAGAAAUAUAUAAAAAAGGAAAACCCAAAAAUUAAUUUUUUUAUAAAUUACAAUAAUUUAUACGAGUUAGAAAUAAAAAAAAAAAUUGGUAACAAAGUUUUUUCAAUCAGUUUAAUCACUAAUUUCAUUUUUCGUAUUUUUUGUUUUAAAAGUUCUUGAAGAAAGAACUCGUACAAGAUUAAAUAUAUUUUUAAAAUGUAAAUUAAUUUAUGUAUACUAUACACAUAUAUACAGACUAUAUUACAUUUUGAUUUAUAUUUUAAUGAUAAAUUAAAAGUAUUAUUUUAAUUUAUUUAAAUACGACUACUAAUUUAAAUUCAAACAGAAAAAAUUAAAUAUAGUGGUGUUCCUUUCAAAUUAAAUUGAAACAUUCGAAACUUUUAAAUAUUAUUAAAAAUAAAAUAAUAUAUACGUUAAAAGAAGUUCUAUGAAUGUUUCUAAUCCAUAGAAUUUUAUAUGGUUUAUGAGUUGUUUUUAUCUUGUGAAUUUUUUUAAUAAAGGAUUUAUUUCAGCUGUCAGUUUUUUUAAUCCAAAUUCAUAUGGUGAAAUCCUAUAAAAUAAUACUAUAAAAUGCACUAAGACGUAUCUAAUUAACCAUAAACAUAAAGGUCUUUUUAUUCAUAAUUUUGUAGUACAAUUAAGAAGCAUAUUUUUUAUUUGAUUUACAUUCACAUAGACAUAAGUCUGAUGGUCUUGUCUUGAACACAACAUCAUAACUUACACAAAGCAUUGAAGUGAGCAAAGAAUACUGAUUCAUUCAUUGCUAGGAAGUUGUAAACAUGACAAUGCAAGAAAACACAAAGCAGAUUCUCUUAUUAUUUAAGCAGUAGUAAGAUAAGAGAGGAUGUUGUUGCAUGUUCUAGGCAUGGUUGUUGUCUUCCACUGGAGGGUACUUUCCAUAAGGUGGUUUCUUCUUGUAUGGUGGCUUUUUGUAUGGUGGUUUGUAGAAAGGUGGUUUUGGCUUGUAAAUGGGAUGCUUAUAAAUAGGAGGCUUGUAAAUUGGAUGCUUCUUGAUUGGUUUGUAAUAAGUAGCAAAACCUUGAGGAAUGAGAAUUAGGGCAGCAAGAAGUAACACCAGAAAGCUUGAAAAGGAAGCCAUUUUUAGGGUUGGUGUGUUAGCAGACUGAGUAAUAUGUUAGUAUAUAUAGUAGUAAGGAAGUUCAAUGUAUUAUGUAGGUGUAAUGUCUCAAUCUAGGUCAUUAAUGAUUUGCUUUGUCACACUUUGAUAUUUGCCAAAGUUUGGUGUGAUUAUUCAUCAUUGAUUUAGACCCUUUGGUCCCAUGUGCCAUUCUAGCAAAUAAGAACCUGGACACAAACUCUAUAUUUAUGCAUAAAGAUCUCUAAAGAAAUAUAAAUAAAUAACAGAAAAUUAUAUAUUUUUUAUGAAUUAAAAAUAAGUUAGAAAUACAAAAUUUGAUAACAAAGUUUUUUUCAAAUUAGUUUAAUCAUUAGUUUCAUUUUUCAUAUUUAAAUAUAUUUUUAAAAUGUAAUUUAAUUUGUAUUAGAUUAGAUUUUUAUUUAUAUUUUAAUGAUAAAUUAAAAGUAUUAUUUUAAUAUAUUUAAAUACAAGUACUAUUUUAAAUUCAAAUCCGUUACAGGCAAGAUUAAGUAUAGUAUUGUUUCUUUCGAAUCCGAUUGGAAAAGGCAGAAACUUUGAAUUGGAAAAAAUCAAUUUGAGGGGACACUCCUUAUCUUGUGAGAAACUUCAUAACACUUAUGUAAUAAAUGCAAAACCCCACAAGCCUUUGCAAGUUGAAACAAUUAUAAAUGGUAAAGUUAAAAUGAGUUGUAUUUGAUUGCGUGUGGUGUGCAAUCGUAGCAUGUGUUCUGUCUCAAUCAAGAUGUUGAUGACCACGUUAUAUGAACAGUACACUGUUAUAUGAAGAGUACACUGUAAUUUUAAAAUGUUCAUUUUAUUUACUUCAACUUUUUUUCAAAACUAGAUUGUGAAAAUGGAUCAUCUAUCCGAUCCGAUUCGACUUACUACAGGUUAGUCAUUGAGUUAACUCAAUUCAGUUUAUUUAAUAGUGAGUUGGAAAAAUUUUAAUUUGGUCUUACUCACUACAAAUUAGUGAGUCAAAUGGAUUGGUUCACGCAUUCUCUUAAUUACAAUUUUUUUAAAUAAAAAAAAUUACAAACUUUUUUAAUUCAAAUCUAAAUAAAUUUCACUCCUAAAACAAUGUUAAACUCAAAAAAAUUCAAAAGAAUAAAAAAAACAAAAUAAUCUUUCUUGAUAUACUAAGGAGAGUAUUUUGUAAGGUUUCAUAAGAUAAUAAAUCAAUAACAAUAAAAUAAAAUUAGAUGUGUUGGUGAGCCAAUCCAACUCACCACAGGUUCAACUCAGAUAAGCCAAGUUGAAAAUUGACUCGCAUAAAAAAAAUACAUUUUUUUCCAAACCAAACCCAUGAUAAACAGAAUUUACUCGAAUCUAUUUUCACAUCUCUAUUCAAAACUAUCAUUAAGAAAUAUAGGUGCAAUAGGAAUUAUAUUACUGAACCCAUCUUAGAAUUCAAAGUUUUCUUAUGAAUUUCUGAUAAGUAUGUGAAAAAAAAAUUAGGGUUCUGGUUCUUAAUAAGAACGGAUAGGAGCAGUCUCAAUCCGAUUACGAGAUCUACAACUUUUAACGUUUCUUUCGUCGAAAAGAUACUGAAUUAGUGUUGUCAUUCAUUAAAAAAAGUAUCACGUGAAUGAUGAGAGUCCUGGAGUAUGAGCUCAACUUAUAAAUUAUAAAAUAUUACAAUAAAAAAAAAUGAAAAGACACGCAUGUAUGAAUAAUUGAGAUAAUUUAUGUUUCUAGUGAAAAAUAAAGGAUAAAAUUAGAUUAAGAACUUCUUCCAUUUCUUAACUAUUUAUGCACAUAGUGGAUUCAGUUUUAUCAUUGAUUUUAACUUUUAAGGUAUGUGUGAUUUUUUUUUCAAAUAUAGAAAUAGUUGAUAAAAUAAAAAAUAAGUAUAAGAAACAAAAACAUAACACUCUAACGCUUUGGUAACAAUUUAUUGAUAAAGAAUGGUUAAAUUAUAUUGCUAGUAUGUACUUACUGAAUUUUUUUAUUGUUGAUUUAUGUGAUUUUUUUUAUAAUUAAUAAAGAUAAAGAUAUUUCAAAUUGAUUCGGGAUAAUAUUGAUGUGAUAUCUUAAAACGUUAUAAAAAAGUUUUACUCUCAUAAUAUAAAUACUAGUAAAAAAAUAUUUAAUGCAUCUAUUACCUUUUGGUUUUCAUGAAACUUAAAAUAAAAAGUCACAGUGACAUUUUAAUAAUUUUUGCAAGUAUAUAGGAUUCGGUUAAAAAAAACUCAGGUCAUAAGCUUACUUUUGGCGUUGGUUGUUCUCACACUGUUGUUAUAGAGUCCAUUGAAGACUUUUCAAUUAAUAAACUUUUGAUACAAGACUUUUGACUUCGGUUCUCUACAGAACCACCAUCGUAGAGUUCUGGAAAAUUAACAAUUUAAUACUUUUUAACUGACAAACUUUCUGGACAAGUUUUUGGUCUCGGUUCUCUAUAGAAUUAUUGUCAUAGGAUCUUAUGAAACUGACAACUUUUCUAGACAGAACUUUUAGCCUCGAUUUUCUGCAGAACCGCUAUCAUAGGGUCAUGACGUUGUAGGUUGUCUUUUCAAUUGGUAAUCCUAUGGCCACGGUUGUUUUAAAACUUGUGUCAUAGAAUCUUUAUGCUUCAGUUAUAUCACAAACUGAGGCAUAAAGUUUGAAACAAAUUUCAAAAUUUUCAGUGAAAAUAUUAUUUUUUUAUUUUUUGGAAGGCUUUAAGUAACGAUUAUUUGUAGAACCAAAACCAUAGAGCCCUUAUUGCUUUGAUUAGUAGAAUAAUCGAGGUAAUAUGUGUUCCUAGGGUUAUAUUUCGUGAAAUAACAAAGCCUUCUCUUGCACAUCUUCACUUUCUCUUUGGUUAUUCUUCUUCUUCUCUGCUAUGAUGAUGCUUACAAUGACCAGCACAUGUAUUUUUUUUCUUUCAUUUUACACAUGCCUGUUGAUUAACUACUUUAGGGAUAAUUUUAUUUCUUUUUGACCGAUUGGUUUCGUGUACAGGUACUUUUUUGUUUUCACCAAUUACUCUUUUUUCGUCACGACGUAGCAAUUUAUUUCGGCACUGAACCCACCUUCAUUCAUGGUUAGUUUCGUUUUGGGCUUUGAUUAACUUUCGUUUUCGUUUUUUGAACUGGUUUGUUGUUCAUACACCAUAGGGUAAAAAUAAAAAUAUAUCCAAAUGAAUUGAAAAAUUUUCCAAAGUACCAAAAUACCAUGAAAAGCUCCCAAAAAAAAAUGUGUCAAAAUUCAAACUGUAAAUAUGUGAAAUAUUUUUGCAAAGUUUGAAAAAAAUAAAAUAAAUUGACGAAAAAUAGAAAACGACUUUUUUUAAAACAAAAAAUCUAAAAGGAACAGUCAUCUGCUCUGGUUGCCAUGGUGUUGGAAAUUUAUUUCAUAAUAUGACCAAAUCGACUAACCGGAACAAAUGUUAUGAUAGUUUAAAAGAUCUAUGACUAUUUUUAUUUUUAUUUUUUUAUUUUAAGGGUCUAUAUUAGCGGUUUCUAACAGAACCAUUGCCAAAAACCCAAUUUAUUUUUAACUUUUUUGGGUUAAUGUUUCGGUUCUUUUGAACCAAGGUAAAAUCAUGACCCUUUUUGCUUCGGUUGUUGACUGAGGCCAAAAACUCCUCUUUUUUAUUUAGUCUGAAUAUACCUAGGUUCGAAAAUCAUUGUCAAAUGUCGAAAAUAACCGUUGUCGUAACCCUUUGCUACAUUAGUGAGAAUGUAUGGAUUUAGGGAACUCGAUUUGGUUUAAUGUUGUGUCAUCAAUUAAAAUUUUGGUUCUUUGGAAGCUUUUGUGCGGGUGUUUUUUGAGGUUCAAAAAAGGAAUGUGGUUUUAUACUCUAUAUGUUCUUUAUGUGGGAAUAAUUUUAAGUUUUUCUCUCAUUUGUUCUUUCAUUGUUCUAUUGUUAUGCGAUUAUCGGAACGAUUGAUGAGAGUUCAUCAAUUGUAGCAAUUUUUCUCUUUGAAUUUGAUUGUUUAAUUUAUGAAGUCUUCUUAUAGUCCUUUAUUUAAACUUAUUAAAGUGAUUGUCAUUAUUGUAGUUAUCUAAAAGAUGUAGAGAAUAUUAUAAUAAAUCUCAGGUUCUAAUUCUUUUUGUCCUUAUUCUUCAAAUUAAGGAAUUUGUGUUUAUAACUAGAAACAAAUGUAAUAAGCAUAUGAGUAAUAAUUUCUUUGAUAUUUUGGUAUUGAAAUUUUUUAAUAUUCCAACCAAGGAGGCUAGAAUGGUUUCAUUUUUGAAUGUUAUAUGGCAAGUUUCACUUGUUAAAUAAUUUAAGGUUUAUAAUGAUAUGUUAAGAAAAAAUUGUCUAAAGAGACUAGAUUGUUUAGCAACUCAUGUUUUGAAGUUUAACAUACAAUAAUUAACGAAAUAUCAUUUAGUGAGUAAAGCGUUUAAACAAUGUGCUUACUAAAAACAACGUUGAAUGAAAUGAGUGUUUUAUAAACUGACCAUCAAACAACGUUGGACGAAAUAAGCAUAUAUAACAUUUUAUGAAAAUAUUGUUUUCUUGCCUAUAUCGUCUAAUAGACAAUGUUUGAUAAACAACGUCUAACAAAAGAAAACGUCUAAGUGUAUGCUUAACGAAACACUAAAGCUUGAAAUUUUAUAUAUAAACAGUGUUGAAUAGAUAAAGUGUCUCAAGAAAAAGAAUCGUCUAGGAAAAACCCACUAAACAUCGUAAUGAAACUUAAGCAGCUUUAUGAAAUAAGCAUUUAACAUUCAUAUCGACUAAAAGAUCAUAUAUUAAACACUAUUUGAAUUUUGUGACUCAAACAGACGUGGUUGAAAGAGUUAAAGCUGUUAAAUAAAAAUAUAUUCAUAUUCUAUUUUUUAGGAGGAUUUUAGGCAUUAUUUAAUUAAUUAUUUUAGCAUAUAUUUUUAAAAGUCAGUUACAAAUUAUGUAGUAUAAAUAUUUACUGUUUAUGCUCAAUAAAAGAUAUCAGUUUCCCUUUUAUUAUUUUGUCACUUAUACGCUAAAACUCAACAAUUGGUAUCAAGAGCAAAAAGGAUCUUACGGGAUCUGUGAUAUAACCCAUAAACACCUACAACCACAAAAUAGCCACCACACACAUAAAAUGAAAUCUCAAACCUCAUUUACUACGGUUUCUAUACCUGUAUUUGAUGGACAAAACUAUCAAAUGUGGGUUGUCAAAAUGGAAGUAUCUAGAUGCUAACGAUGUAUGGGAAGAGGUAGAACAAGACUACGAAGUGGCUCCCUUGCCAGAUAAUCCUACAAUUGCUCAAAUGAAAAAUCACAAAGAAAGCAGGCUUCGAAACUCUAAAGCCAAAUCAAUUUUGUUCACAGUUGUAUCUCCAGUCAUUUUCAACAAAAUAAUGACGUUGAAAACGGCAUAUGAAAUCUAGAACUUUUUGAAGGAAGAGUAUGAAGGCAAUGAGAGAGUCAAAGGAAUGCAAGCUUUGAAUCUGGUUCGAGAACUUGAGAUGCAGAGGAUGAAAGAUUCAGAGACAACCAAAGAUUAUGCGGACAAGCGUCUCGGCAUUGCAAACAAAAUACGUCUUCUAGGCAUUCAGAUUCCUGAUUCUCGAAUUGUUCAAAAAAUACUUGUAACAAUUCCAGAAAGAUAUGAAGCCACAUUGACUUCCUUAGAGAAGUCAAAAGAUCUUUCUACUAUUACCUUGGUAGAACUUUUGGCAGCACUUCAGGCUCUAUAACAAAGAAGACUCAUGAGAGAAGAAGGUGAUAUUGAAGGGGCUUUGGCAGCUAAAUUGCUAAAAAAAGGGUCAGGAAGUUUCAACCACAAAAAUGAUAACAAAUCCUCUAAUGUUUUUCCAUCAUGUCCUUUUUGUAAGAAAAACAAUCAUCCACAUACAAAGUGUUGGUGGAGGCCAGAUGUGAAAUGCCAUAAAUGUGGACAAUUAGGGCAUGUGGAGAAAAUAUGCAAGUCAUCAGAAAAACAAGAGAAUGUACAAGCCGUGGUUGAAGAUGAUGAAGAAGAACUUUUUGUUGUUUCUUGCUUUGCUACUGCAAGAUCAACAGAAAGUUGGCUAAUUGAUAGUGGUUGCACGAACCACAUGACUUACGAUCAAGAAUUAUUCAAAGAUCUUGAUACAACCUACAACACAAAUGUCAGAAUUGGAAACGGAGUAAAAAUAGAAGUUAAAGACAAAGGAACCAUCGCAAUCAAAGGUUGCACAGGUUUGAAAUUAAUUAUUGUUGUUCUAUACGUUCCUGAAAUUGACCAAAAUUUGUUGAGUGUUGGCCAACUUCUAAAGAAAGGCUAUAAAGUUCUAUUUAAAGACAAAUCAUGCAUGAUUAAAGACUUAGAUAAUAAAAAAUUAUUCAGAGUUCAAAUGAAAGGCAAGAGCUUUGCCUUAAAUUUGAUUGAUAAAGAGCAAUUUGUUAUGCCCAAGGUUGAAGACAACAUGCAGGUACAAGGGUUGCCUGAAUUGGAAGAGAAAUCACCUAUAUCCACAACUUUGCAAUAUGGAAAACAAACGAGGUUGCUUUUUCCAAAAGACAAAUCUUGGAGAGCAACAAACAAGUUGCAGUUAGUACAAACAAAUGUUGCAAGACCUACAAGAACCUCAUCUCUUAAUGACAAGAAAGUAAAGCUAGUGGGUGUUAAAGUUGGUUAAAGUAAAAUUAAACCAGAAAAAUUACAGGAAGAAAAGCAUCCUAAGACAAUUCUUCCCAAAGCAAAAGCUGAAAACGCAGAGCAACAAAGCAAUACUGAAAAGGUGAAAGACACAGACAACUCAAAGUUAGACGCAGUUCUUGAAAAGAUAAAGAAACCAGGAGUGGUCGAGAAUUCCAAAGUGGAGGAAAUUUAGAUGAUACGGUCAAGGAUGAAAAGACUUAAAGUAUGCUGACUUUGAGUCAAGGAGGAGUAUUGGAAUUUUGUGACUCAAACAGCAUGUGGUUGAAAGAGUCAAAGUUGUUAAAUAAAGAUAUAUUCCUAUUCUAUUUUUUAGGAGGAUUUUAGGCAUUAUUUAAUUAAUUAGUUUAGCAUAUAUUUUUAAAAGUCAGUUACAAAAUAUUUAGUAUAAAUAUUUACUGUUUAUGUUCAAUAAAAGAUAUCAGUUUCCCUUUUAUUAUUUUGUCUCUUAUACGUUAAAACCCAACAAACACUCUACUUCCUAAACGAUGUUUUUAUCAAACGAGAUUACAUGUGUAAAUAUGUUUUAAAUACGCAAUGUGCAUAAAUGAUUACAAACAUUUAAAACAUUUAUUGCAUGUAUGAAAAGUACAUUUUUGCUUGUAUGUCUUGCUCUCUUUAUCUCUAUAGAUAAUGACACUACCAAGCUUUACUCAAAAACUCUACACAAUGAUCAAAAAGACGUUAAGAGAUAGGAAGCACAAUAGCUCUGCAACGUAGACCUGAGUCUGACUACUUACCUAAAAAGGUUAUGAAGUUUACAUAGAAGUCAAUUUUCUGUCUAACGGAUCUUUCUCAAAGAUAUAUAUAUAUAUAUAUAUAUAUAUAUAUAUAUAUAUAUAUAUAUAUAUAUAUAUAUAUAUAUAUAUAUAUAUAUAUAUAUAUAUAUAUNAUAUAUAUAUAUAUAUAUAUAUAUAUAUAUAUAUAUAUGAUUGCAUAAAGAGAAGGCAAGAAGAAUACAUGUAUAAGCUUAUUGUUGCAUUGUCUCUACACAUCGUCUCACACUUUCAUUAAAAGAGAAAAUAUUUUCAAGUUUUUAUAUUUCAUUGCGUUGAAUCUAUCCUCUCUUUGAGACUUGCUUGAAUUUGUACUUGUAUCCAAACACACAUUAAUUAUGUUUAUAAAUUCAUAAGUAAAUUAAAUCACUUGUUUAACUCAUUUAAGUUAAAUGAUCUAGUCAAAUUGACUAGUUUGAAACCAAGAAAGGGUAAACUCAUUGGUCCAGUUUGGAUUAUGGUAAACCAUGAGUGGUUGAUAAUACUUAUUGAAACCAAGAGUUUUUUAUAAUACUCGUUAUAAAUCAGGUUUGUCAUUAUAAACUAGGAAUGUCGUUGAUAUGUAUACCAUUAUAGUCCAAAUUUAACCAUAUAUUGGGUGAUAGUAAAAUUAUCAAUGCCAAAAAAACUUCUACAUCGCAUGAUUGUCACACUCACGGACAACCACCCAUUAGCUCUCACAAAUAAGAAAAAAAAAAUUAGCAUAACACACUCAAAAGCUACUACCAUAUGAACUAUCACAUAUCUUUGUUUUAUUUAUAUUUUUGUAUAGGAUUUAAUACUACUCUCACAUUUUUACAAAAAUAAAUCAAAACAUCAUAAAUAAGACUCAAACUCAAGACUUUACCCAUCAACACAAAACUUCUAACCAAACAAAUUAUCACAAUAUUUUAAAAUAAUGAUAGCAAUUUAAAAACAUAUUAUUAUCUAUUAUCUAUUUUGUCUCAUGUAAAUAUUUUUCUUCAGUCUUACAUAAUGCAAUUUGUCACACAAAAUAAAUUUUAAUGUCAUUUAAAAAUAAAUACCAAAACCAAUACUUUUAAAAAUAACCAAACAAAAACAAAGUUUGGACUAAACACCAUUUCCAAUUUUACUUAAUGGACAAAAACAUAUUUUUCCUUUUCAAGCUCAAACUCAUAUUCAUGUAAGUAACAAUUUGUUAGUGAAGUAACUCGAAUUUUGGGCAAAGUGCCAAAUAUUCGUUGCCUUCACCGACAGCCAAAAUUGGUGAAGUUUGAUAUUACGUUCUCAGCGCUAUGUCUCACACAUACUUCCAAAUAUGGAAGAGGUUUCUUCUUCAAGACUUGCCACCAUAAGAUAUUAUUACAUGAUUACAAAUUUUCCACGGUCCCAAAUUAAAAUCAUUAGUGUGAUGAUAAAUAAAUUGAUAUCAUAAGAUCUGUUCAGUUGUUUUAAUGUUGAUGGAGAAUAUAUAUAUAUAUAUAUAUAUAUAUAUAUAUAUAUAUAUAUAUAUAUAUAUAUAUAUAUAUAUAUAUAUAUUCGCAUAACAUGAGUAUAAAUAUGAUUUGAAACUCGAUUUUUUAAAUUAAAUACGAAAAUGAGAAAAGAUGCAUACAUAUUUACAUAAAUUUUUAAAAUAAUUUUAUUUAUUUGAUAUUUUACUUUAAAAUUUAUAUAAGUAUAAUUUAUUCAUUAUCAUUUUGUCAAAAAAUAUUUAAUAAAUAUUUAGAUAAGUACAGGUACAAAUAGGACUAUAUCAUAUUUGACCAAAAUAGAAAUAAAACACAAAAUUUUAUAUUUAUCAAGUAUUAAAGAUAUGUAUAAGUUUUUUCUUUUAGGACAAAAAUAAAUAUAUUAAACUCGUAUAUCUCCAUAGAGGUGAGUCCUCCGUAACCAGUUGUUAAAAUGCUAAAAUAUUUAUUUAGCUCGUAUAAAUAUUAAACAAAAAGAUAUACGAAAAAAUAAUAUAAAAUGAUAGAAUAAUCCCUCGUAAUUAGUUGACUAUGAGUAUCACAAGUUCAAUGAAUAUAUGUAGCCGUUAGGUUCAUAAAUUAAUUGUUUUUAUAUAUAUACUAGUGGAAACUUUUUUUUAGAUGAUUAAUUUAAUUUUAAAAACUAAAUAAAUUUAAAUAAAUAGUGAUUUAAAAGAAUAAAAUAAUAAAAUUAAAAAAUGAUGAAAUUUAAAUUAACUACUUUUUUUUGUUAACGAUUCUAAAAAAAAAUAUUUUUAUGGGUUAUAAGUAUCAUUUUAACUAUUAUUUUUAUUCUCAAAUAAUAUUAGAAGGUUUUGGUAUCAUUGUAGAUAUUUUAUUUUCUCUACAAUUAUUUAACUCUUUCUUAAGGAAUUAGGAGUGGUAAAAUCUUCUACAAAUCAAUUCAUUCGAUUUUUCCUUUUUUUUGAAAGAUAAAUUAAUAUAUUUAAAUCAUAUCUCAUAUAUAUAAAUAUCAUAUUCUAUCAAUCUCGAAAUCUUGAUUCAAAUUCUUCCAUAUUUAAUAAAAGAUGUAUCUUUCUUUAAUUGGAAUAGUCUUUUUUCUUAAAAAAAUGAAUUUUUACUUUUUUUUUCACACAGGAAUUGAAGAAUUUUAUUUUUCUACAUAAUUUAUAUGUAUGAAAAUAUGAAUUUAUUUUUCUUUUUCUAGAUAACAAAUCCUCUCAGUUACAAUUAAAACAUUUUCACGUUUUUUUGAGCAAAUUUUUUUCUAUAAAACAAUAAAACAUCUUAUAAAAGUAUUUAUUAAAAAUUGUUCAUAUACUUUUUUUUGUAUGUUAUUGUGUACGUAUCCUAUGCAAUGUUUUAUAACAUCAUAUUUAGCUAUCUCAAUAUGUAAUCUUAAAUCAUAACUGCAUCGUAACAAAAUAAAAGAUGAAUCAUGACUAAUUGCUAAAAGUGAUAAAAAUCAUACUUCAUCUCAAUACUAAAACACUCCUAAGUUAUGUAUUAUACAGCUAUGUAUGGUACGCUUACAUAUUUUAUAUAUACGUAGUGUUCGUGUACUUACAUAGUGAACAUCUACGUAUUUUACGUCUACAAAUUUUACGUCUACAAAUUAUACGUUUACAAAUUGUAUUUUACAUAUUGUACGUCUAUAUAUUCUGUGCCUACAAAUUGUAAUAAUGAAAUCUAAUGCGAUAACUAAAUUUGAUCCAGGAUUUUUGUACCAUCAAUUUUUUUUUCUUUACCUUUAUUCAUUCUUCUAUCUACUAUUAUCUAUUGUAUGGUAACUAGAAAUUAUAUAGAUAAACAUUCCUAAUUAUCCACAAAAUAAAUGGAAGUAAACAUAUCUAUCAAGCAAAUCGACUAAAAACUCUAGAUAACACAAAAAAUGAACAGAAACCCUUUUGCUAAUGUAUCUUGAAUUUUCUACUCACUAAUAAUUACAUAAUUACCUCCCCAUAACGAAAUAAAUAUAAGCAUAAAUACAUAUGAUAUGACAUUUGCCGAGGCCAAGGAUGGAGAAUAACAUUGUAUUUUUCAAUAACCAAAACGAUCGAUUUAAAUUCAAACUAUUGACUCCAAACGGUCAACAUUACAUCAAAUAGACUGGACUCAAUCCUCUACAAAAGAAUACGCAAGACUCUUCCAGUAUUUCAUUAAUCACUGGCAAACAGGAGUGACACUGUGAAGAGCUCCAUGAUAUAUUUUACAAAAAGAAUGGUUUCAACGCUUUUGAAUGCAUGAGCCAUAUUUCAUUAGAUGAGCAUUUCUAAGACUAUAUCCAGAAAGUGAAACCAUAUUCAGGGCAAAUGUCCACAAUACCUGCUCUACGUAAAUUAGUUAGAACUUGCUUGAUGUUGAUCGAUCAAAACACCUACAGUAGAAACAAAAAAUAUAUAUCAUCAUAAGGGCGUAACUUAAAUAUAUUGUUAGAAACCAUGCGACAAUUCAUAUUGGAAGACAGAGCAACUCAAUACAUUCUAAUUAAAUCUUUAUACAAAAAUAAUAAAGUUAGUAGAAAAAAAAAGAGAAGAUUUCAUUUAAAUCCAAAGUACAUAUCUUAAAUCCAGUUAAAAAACCGUACAAUUUGGUGAGGGUAAGUUUAGAGAACAGAGGUUAUCUAUAGGUCAGAGCAUGCUGUAAGUUUCAAGAUGGUGCUUAUAGAACUCGGACAUACAAUAUUUCAUUGAACUUACUAAGUAUAUUUGGACAAGCUGAUCCAGAAUGACUUCUACCAAGAAAAAAAAAUGACUUAUGCAAGUUAAAAACAAAAACUUAUAAAAAUUAUACGAAAGAUUCUCCGAAUUAGUUAAUACAUAAGAUAAUUUUAAUUUAUAGAAAAGUUUUUCUUUUUUUUCUUUAUACUUUUCUCUUCUAAAAGUCCUAAUCUACACUGGGCGAGAAAUGCAAGUAGCAUUUGAUUCUUCCAGUCUAACUUGUAACCUUAUAAACUUUCAUGGACCAAAUUAAGGUAUUUGGUAAACAAGUUUCCUACAAAAGCUUAUAGCUACCCUAAACUAUUUCAAAUAGCUUAUAAUUUACAUAAGCCUGUAGCUAUUUUUUCCUUCCACUAAUAUUCUUUCUAGUUUAAUAUACUUAUUUUUUACCCAAGGUCUCUUAAUUGUUCACAUGUAACAACUUUUUUAGUUAUUAUUUUAAUUAUUACAUGUUCUCUUUUUAUUAAUUCUUGGGUAUUACACUAUUAACUUUAAAAAUAUAUUUUAUCUUAAAAACCAACAACAAAAAUUUUAUCCUACUCUAUUGUUAAGACAUGCUAAAUGAAUAACAUGACGCCAUUGGGCUAAUCUAAGAUGAUAAUAAUAACCUAACAUGUUUGUCUAUAAAACAAAAAUAGAACACACGAAAAAUUCAUCAUAUAACUCAUGUUACCUUACAUUUACUAGUACUUCAAUAAUUAAUUUUACUAAACAUUUCUUAGUUUUUCCGAACAUAGUCAUAACCCUUUCACCUUUUGUUUCCUGUCAAAAUUUCAAACAAAGAGUUAAGGAACAGAAGUCAAAAUGCAAUAUCACUCAUCUUUCUGCUGAAUCCAUAUUUCCUAACAGAUAUGGGGAAAACACUAUGAACAAACCUUCUGGACAUUCUGAAUUAGUAUACACAGAUCUUAGUUUCAAUAGAUAACUGCUUUCUGCAAAAUCAUGCAAUGAUUUAUAUCCUCGUCCCCCGCCAUCAUCCUCAGAUUCCGCAACAUCCUUAAUUGGCGAUCUUCUACAUUUAUCAGCUUCCUAGUUAAACAUCAACAAAUUGAAACAUAAAUAAUAAUUGCUGAAGAUAUGAUUUAAUUACAUUAAAUUGGAAAACAUGAUAUGAUAUGAUAUGAUCACAUAAAAUAUGGAAAUAUCUGAGAAAAUGUUUUGCAACACUGGUUAUCAAUUUUGUUCCUAAUUAUUGUAUCUCUUCUUCAUUAUAAAUAAGAGUACAAACACGAGUACAAGAUACACAACAAUAAGCAAUCUUUCCAAUAUAGUAUCAUCCAUGACCAUUUUAGUCACUGAUCCCUUGAUAAGCCAUGACUUUUUCCCUAGAGGCAAUGACGCUGUCUUUGCCACUGAGACUUUCUCUUUCAGGUAAACAAUACCCGCUGCAACAUUUUUACUUUCCAGCAACCACCGAGCAUAUUUUGCUCUCUGGCAGCCACCACAUGCUCUGACCAUUUUUGCUACACAGUAGUCACGCCUUCCAAGCACUUUUGCUCUCCGACAACCAUCACAUCCUCAUAUACCAUUUUUGGUCUUCUGCAGUCACCAUAUCCUCCUAGCAACUUUUUCUCUCCAACAGCCACCACGUCCUAUGAAUAUUUCUGCUCUUUAACAGCCACCAUGCCCUCUAAGCAUUUUUGCUCUUCAACAGCUGUUGUGUCCCCUGACCUUUAACACAACCCUGUCAUCAAAGUCGACCCUUCUCUGACAACCACUAUGCUGCUCAACACAUGGCCAACAGCUGCCAUGUGCCACCAGCUCCUUAGCAUAUGACCUUCACACCUGCUCCAAACUGAUGCAUGAAGCUUGACUUUGUCAGCUCCAGCAACAAACUGGCUUAUCUGCUUGCUAAGUCUCUCAAGGAGUCUCAUGUUGAUGAUAUUUAUCACAAGCUUGUCUCAUAUGAAACAUAUGUUCCAACUUGAAGGAGAGUAUUAAAAAUAUGAUUUGAUUACAUUAAAUAAGGAAAUAUGAUUUGAUCGCAUCAAAUAGGGAAAUAACUUAGAAAAUACUUCUCAUUAGUAGUUCUUGAAUUUGUUCGUCACUACUAUAUAUUCUCCAUUAUAAAUAAGAGUAUACUCAUGUGUACAAGAUACACAAUGACAAGCAAUCCUUUCAAUAAUAAUAAAAUCUAAACAAAAGCAACUGAGGAGAAUAUUUUCAGCAACAUAUAUGAAGGACAACAUAAACAAACAACGCAUUCAGAAAGACCUAUCAUCUAAGGUUAAGGUAUUACGCUCAAAUCAAAUGGCGCCAAGUACAAUUUAUAGAGAUUCACCUGUAAAAAGCCUAGCAUUUGCUCUUCAAUUGUACCAUGCAUAGCUAGUGUUUCAACGUGAAUAGGACGAGAAGCACCCAUUCGAUGAGCACGACUAAUUACUUGCUCCUCCAUACUGACAAGAUUUCAAGUCAGAAGAUAAUGAAAUUGGAUAAACAUUCCAAUUUGAGUCAAAGUAGAAAAAUCCAACAAAUUGGUAAACCAAAAGAUUCACUGCCAAUCACUUUAUGCAUCUGCAUGGCUACAGUUGGCAAGUUGAAUUCCAAAACAGAAAAUUCAGUAUUGACAGAUAAUGUAAAUUAACCACACCCUGGACCACAAUUUUAAAUGACUAAACCAUUUAUGGCAAAAAAGUUCACAAAAUUUUAACAUGCUCAUGACUUUAGAAUAUCAAUUUAUUCCUCAGCCAAUAAAAAAUUAUAUCCUUGUUUGUAAAUUAGAAUAGUCAGAUGUAUUAACCUUCUGUCCCAAAUUGGCUCCAUUAGAAAUACAUGCGUAACAAAACUCAAGUCCAGACCCAAUGCAGCACUUCCAUCCAUUAGAAGCGCCAUACAACUUGAAUCAUGCUGGAACGUGGCUAAAGACUUCUUCUGAAAAAGGAAAAGGUAAAUUAACCAAAGGUCAGACACCAAAAGUAAAUUAAAAUUUUCAGAAACAACCAAGAAUUCCAACAUUAUACCUUGUUACUGGAAUGCAUUGGGCUAUACAUUCCAGCAUAUUUGAUACCAGCAAUAGCUAACUGCCAAAGAGAAACAAGUCCAAUUUAAUAGUUAGAUCAUUUGCAAAAGCAUCCACAAAUGCCAAAAAAGUAAAAUAGAAACACUUCACAAAAGACCAUACACAUAAAUGCACCUGCUGUUCAAUGACAUGUAUAUGCUCAAGAAAUUGAGAAAAUAUAAGAACUUUCUCAAGGUUAGAAUUGGUCUUUGUGCUGCUCUUCAAACAUUUUUGAAAUGCUGAUUUAUCAUCACUUCUAUGCAGAGAGAAACUAUUCUCAAUAGGCAUCUCAUCAUUGUUAUUGUCUGUACAGAAGCUAGUCUCUUCGUUGGUUCCUUGCAAGGCUUUCAACUUCUGGACAAGAUAUGAGACUUUAGUACUAGAUGUAGAUUGCCAAUCUGGAUCCCAAUUAUCCUGGGUUCAACAAUCAACAUUGCAUAUUAGCUUUGUAAAACAGAAAAAUGGAAGGAAAAGAUAAAUGUGAAUGCCAACUGAGCUCUUCAUAAACCAUGCCUGCUUAUAUGACGGUUGUAGCUCAAUAAGAUCUUUGGGUACAGGCCACUUUGGAUUAGGAUUUUCAGGUCGGGGAAGUCUACUUUGCAUCUCAUACAAUUUACUGCAGCCAGGAUAAGAACACUUCGUAUGGUCAAUAGAAACACAAUCAAGGCACAACAAAUGCCGACAUGGUGUAAUGACCGGAAGGCGGCACCAUUCCUUGCACCUUCACAAUUUAUUUAGAAUGAUAAGAUUAAUAAGCAGCAACAAGACAAAAAAAAAGAUACAAGAAAAUACAAAACCUAGGUACUACCUGACACAGUGACCACCAUACAAGAGAUUACAUCUUAUGGAGGUAUACUCUCCAGAAGUAGGAUCCAGACCACUUUGUACUAACAUAUCCAUUGUUUCUUGAAUAUCUUCACCAGCAUGUGUAACCUUAAUAUGUCCAGCAACACAGCACGAAAGCCUGACAUUUUUUAUAGUUGCCCUACGAAACUUCCACUGCUUUGGAUUCAGUAGACUCUCAACAUGUGAGGGAUCAUUCCAAUCAGCCAUCAAUAUAUUACGCCUUACAGUGAUUACCAAUUCAUUGUAACUUCUAGCAUGCUCCUCAUUAAAAUCCAGAUAAACAACUUUCUUGAUGCAUGGUGGGAUGCUUUGUAAUUCUGUCUUUCUAGCACUAAUCAUGCAUUUGUGAAGCAGAUCUAACAGACGAGACCUCCCUUCCUCCAUUUCUGCUUCAAAUGGCCUGAGCACACCAGCUUCCCAUGACUUUUGAUUCAGUCCAUAAGAUUCUUCAUGAAGGAACCUUAGCAAUGUUUGCAGAUGUGGAAGUUGGCUGUUAGGAGUGUUAGGUGUAGGAGUUCCUGUUAGUAUCCAUCGAUUAGAAGCUAUCAAUGAAAUGGCCAUUUGCAACUUGUUUGUUAAGUUCAGGCUAGACCCAAGAGUGUGCCCCUCAUCUAAAAUUACCCGAAACCAAUGUACUUGCAUCAAAACACUCCUCUUACGAGGGCCCCACUCUGCACUCAGACGACUAAAAGUGGUUAUGACAAUGUCGUAAUCCCAUGCAAGACAAUGCACAGAUGGCUUCCGGUGAUCAGUCCAAACAUAAAUCCGCAAUUGACCGGGCCUCACAUGCUUUUCUAUUUGUGUUUUCCAAUGAUCAACCAAGUUUGCUGGAACAACUACCAGGGUAGCCCUUGACAAGUAUAACCUGACAAAAUCUAUAGGCUCACGGAGUGCCAUGCCAAGGGCAGCCACAUCAAAAGUCAAAUUGUUAAGAUGUUGAGGAUAGAACCACUUGCACACACCUUUGUCUACUCUCUUUAAGAGGCCAAAUGCUUGAAAUACUUUGUGGAAGGCAUUAAAAUGUCUGCCAGAUGCAGUACACGUGUUUAAAAUAGGACCUCUUAUUCCAUUUGUUUCCAUAGCUGCAAGCUUGUCUGUUGAAAUUUUAGCCAACCAGGCCAGGGCUUUUUUUGUCUGAGAAUUUAUCAGUGAGUAGUGCUCCUUAAGCACGCUGGUGAAAAAAGAAACAUUUUGUCUGUCACCACCAUGAGUCCCUUUUAAGUGAAACCCUGGCAAGUAUGUUAUCCUAGAUGUAGAACGAAAAUGUUGUUCAGGGACACUACAACUUUGAUAAAGAGGGUCAGGGUUCAUACUACAAAACCAUGCUGCACUAGAACUAGCCAUACUAUUGUCUGCCAGCUUUCGCCACUUGUGACAAGCAUCACACUGAAUCCAUGUAUCACUGUACUCAAAAGGAUCACCUUGAGGCUUCCCAGGCAGCUUCUUUUGAGAUAAAUGAGGUGUAACAUCUGAUGCAUGUUUUGCUUUAAUUAAUCCUUCAACUUCUCUUUCCUUGGAUAUCAUAGCUUCCUCUUCAUUUGUGAAGCAUAGGUUUUUCUUUAUGCGGCUCAAACUCCUAGUGUACUGAUUUGAAUGCACAGAUUCCUUAAAGCGUGCCUCCACAGGUGAUUUGUUUACUUCCAUGGAACAUGAACUCUGAAGUUUAAUCAUUUGCUGGUCAGGAUUUGACAUUCUGGCUCUUUUGGAGGAGUAUUCAUGGUUAUCAUUAGUUCUACUGAUAUAUUGGCUCCCGUUCCUUUUACCCAAUGCAGAACAACCAGUUAUGUUAUUACCACAGAUCUCAUAAUAACCACAUUUCUGAUUACCAUUAUGUUGACACCAGACAACUUGUGCCUCUACUGGUGGAUCUGCCAAUGUACCUCGUGUCUUCAUAAUAAGAGAGAGUGCCGUUACAGUCUUACCCAAACCAGGCUCAUCACAAAACAUUCCUCCUCGAAAAUCCCUGAUGGUGGGAGCUUCCCCAGUGACAAUUUCACCAGAAACGGUAUUUACAUGGAAACUAAAACCAUCUUCAGUUGAGAGAAAUGCAUAUAAAGGGUGUGGCAAAAGCUCAGCAUUUCGCUCACGAUGCAACAUCCACUCAACUGCUGCCUGCUGAUGAGGAAACAGAUUUAACUUUGUACAAGGCAUUACAGAAGCAGCCAAUGAUCUUAGAUGACGACACGUUUCAGAAACCCUAGUGAGGUCCAUUGGGUCAAGGGAAGAUAAAAUUUUUGUUAAAAUAUCAUCAGAUAACUCCCAAAUGCCUGCUCUGCAUGAGUGAUCCAUAGGAAUUAUUUUGGAGCUAUUAAACAUCCGCUGUUUUCCUAUGCCAGGUAGUGUCUUGAAAAGUUCAUGAAGUUCAAAUAGGCUUUUCCUUGAAGAACUGCUAACAUGGGGAUGGAGCUUGCAACAAAGUACAUGACAAUCAGAAAGGUUCCAAAAGCUCUCGUUUGCUCCAUGAGUCUUUCUACAAUAGUCUGGAUAUGAAAGCAUUGAACUUCGCUCAUCCCAAUCACAGCUGCAAACAUUUCUAACUGUUAGCAAACUAAAAAGUCAACGACAUGUGUAAAGUAUAUUACACAGGAAAAUGAAGGCAAUAGAUUAGUCAAUUUAAAUUAUUAUUACAAAAUUAUGAGAAUAUAACUGGUGAGUUUAAUAGAGAAGGUAUUAAGUUUGACAAAGGUUAGAAUUUAUGUAAACUCGUGAGAGCUCCAUAAGAGCUUCAUAAACUCAUAAUAAGUUACUUUACAUGAAAAAGAAAAGUAAUAUCCAUAGAUAGCAAAUUAAUGCAACAGUUCAACACGAUAAUUAAGCAAAAUAGUUAAAAAAAUAAUUCCACAAUAGUAAAACAACUACAUUCAAUAGCACAUGACUACUAUAUAAGUAUAAAGCACACCAAAUAAAUAAGUUCAUACAAUGACAAAGCAUAAAUUGUUAAAGUCACAUACCAAUUAAAUAACUAGACAGAGACAUCAUCUAAUGUCAAAUUUCAAUGUCCAAUCCUCUAAUGACAUCAUCAUCUUCAUCAGAAUGUCAUCACCAUCAAACUCUUUCUCACAAGAAAAUUGUGUAUCAAUAUUGGCAUCAAAAGUCCUAUUAUCAAGAUCAAGUGCAUCUAGAAUUGGAUCUCUUGUUGCUCUAUCUAAGUUAGCAUUUCCACGUUCAUCAUCACAUUGAACUUGCUCAAUCUCAACAACAUUAUAUCCCUUUGUAGUUAUCAAUUCAUCAUCAGACAAAAUAUCAUCAAACAAAAGAGCAUCAAUUUUUCUAAUUAGUUUAUUUUUCAAUUUCAAGUUAUACAUCACAUAAACCAAACCAUUCAUCUUUUUCUGAUAGAAACAAUUACUUCUCUUUCUAUGAAUGUAUAAUAAAUAUCAAAUUCGGUAAAUAUAUAAACCAAAUGUAGAAAACUAUAAAUUAUAAAUAACUUCAAUUACUAUUUCAAAUAAGCUCCAAUUAUGCUCACACCCAAAAGAGCUACAAGUCAAACUCAACUCAAAUAGCAAACCACUAUAACUUUGGAGUUCUAUCCCAAGACAUCUCCCACCAUUUUCCAAGAGGCAACACUUUCCUACAAUCCCUCGCAUGUUCCAUGAAAGAAAGUCCUCUAACAUAAUGAAAAUCAGCGAGUUGCAAACUAAUUUCUUUUUCUUUAUGCAACAUCCUUAAACCAAUAUUUUCAUGCAUAUAUACAAAUCCUCUUUCACCUUGGAAUCAUCAUGCCAGGUUCAUAUUCGAAAUACUGAGGUAAUUGGGAAAAAAAGAAUCCAUAUAUGAAACAGAAGGAUCUAGAAUACAACCCGUCUUCGAUUUGAUACCCUUUUUGGUAUUGCUUUUUUCAAUCUUCUUUAUUUAGACUAUUGUCUAAAUCAAAUACCAAUACGUUUAACCUUCCUUUUUGCGGUAGUAGUUGCAUGCAGAGGCUUGUGAAGUUGAUCUUUCCACCUUUCAUCAAUGAUUUUCCAAACAGCUUCAUAACUACUUUCAAUACCAACUAUCCUGUACUAGAAAUAAUUUCACAAAUAAGUAAUUAAAUUUCAAAGAAUUUUUACCUUUUCAUAGUAUUAUUAAAGUAGCACUUAAUCUUCUCUUUUGCACAAUUUAUCUCCUCAUAUUUGAAACCCAUUGUGGGUUUUAUACAUCCACCAAUAUUAGGGUCACCAUAAGAGGGGUAGCAACUUUGAGGUAUGUGGUUACAUUCUUCCAAAACCAACUAUCCAAUACUAUAUUUUCAACUUUUCUCCCCUCAAAGUUCCAAAUUUGCUUGUUUUCCACUCUUCAAAGCUAAACAUGGUCCACCAUGGUAUUUUCAAUUCAGGAAGACAGGCUAGAGUCAUGAGUCGUUACAAAUCUAGUCAUACCCAAUCUUAUCAAGUCUCUUCCUUUUGUGAACUACUUCAACAAGCUAAUUAACAUUGUUUUACAUAAAUGUAGGUGUUGAUCAUUCUUCCCUUUUUGAUAGUAACUUGAUGAACUUUCAAAUUCUUUCCAAAAAUCAAAUCAAUGCUAUGGGGAGCACAUGGGGUCCAACACAAAUGCUGCUUUUUUUCAGCAACAAAUCUCGAACUGCCUUAAAAUUUGAAGCAUUACCAUUUACCUGCACUACAUUUUCCUCUCUCACAAAGUCCACAACAUUAUCUAACAUCUUAAAAAAUUUUCUCUUGCUUGUGAUAGUUUGCAGUAUCCCGUGAACAAAGAAACAUAGUUCCUUUAGGACUACUCACCAAAAAGUUACAAACAAAAACACUUUUUCCUCUCUAACAAAUUGAACUGCUUGCACUACAUUUUCCUCUCUAACAAAGUCCACAACAUCUUAAAAACUUUAUCUUUUGUUUUUUAGAUGCUUGAAGUAUCAAAUGAAUAAAGAAACACGGUCUCUUUAGGACUAUCCACCAAAAAGUUACAAAUAGAACACAUUUUUCAUCCAUCCACCCAUUAGACAUAAUUAUGCAAUUUGUUCUCUUCCACUUGCCAAAAAUUCUUAAAGGACUAAGUCAGUUUUUAACACUGCUUGUUUCAAAAGCUUCUCUAACAUAAUAAUGAGAUGGAGGUUUAUGGCAAACCCCAUAUUUACCAAUCAUUCCAAUUUUUUGGCAAAAGUUGGAUUUUAAUUACGUUGAAUGGAAUGACACUCAGGUAAAAAAAAAAAAAAAGCAGAACCUUGAGCAUCAACUUCUUCUUUACAAGCUUAUAAUCAUUUAAUUUAUAGUUGCUUGAACUCUCGUCUACUACUACUAACUCUUUCUUUUCCUUUAAAACCCAACAUUUGUUGUCUUUCUACAAACCCCCUACUUGCUUCCUAGUCUUCAUUAAUUACAUUCAACCUUCUUUUCUUCAAUAAAGCUUCCUUGGUUUUUGCAACAGCUUCUAUAAUCAAAAUAUUUAUUUCUUCUGAAAAAAAAAACAGCACAAUGUUCAAAAUCCUCUCUGGUUUCCAAUUGAUGUGGAAUCUCCAUUAUAGGGUGCUUGGCUGUUGGGGAGUUUUGGGGCACUCUUGGGUUGUUCUAUCUUCUCUAUGCAUUGGUGCUCGCCAAAGGGGUGCUUCAAAUGUUCCCUGUCAUUAUGAAAUGGCUUUAAAUACAAUAUCAGUGGCAACAAACCCAAAAAGUUUAUCCAAGUGGUGGAAGCAAACCCCCAAAUCUAGUAAUGGAGUGAAGAUUGAUGUGGCAUGGAAGCAUUGUGUUUCAAUUAUUCAGAAUGCAAGAAAAAUAAAGUGUAAAUACUAUGACAAGGUGCUUAAAAGGAGAACUAUUGAUUGAAGAUCAUUGACAAGAACUUUGAAGGAUGUUGGAGAAUGUAGAGUCGUUCCUACAAAGUUAAGAAACUAAUAGGGGAGAGUUCCUCAGUUACAGCAAAAUCUGAAUAAAAUGUCACAGUUCAAUAAAUAAGGAGGUUGUAGCAUUGCUAAAAAAUCUCCUUAUUUUUCAUCUUUUAGGGAAACUUCUUCAAUCUUUUCCUCCCCAACCAAUUGCUUCUUCCUCACUACACAAUAUUGAUCAAAAAGUUGACCUAAUCUUCUUCCUCCCCAAAUGCAAAGAAUUUUUUGACAAACACCCCAAGGAAGGUCCUAAUACACAUUUUCUUGAUACACAUUAAUACACAUUUUCCUAAUAAUAUUUUAAAAAGAAAAAAUAGUGAAUGAUGAAAAAACUUUCUCAUCUUCCGUUACAUUUUUUCCCUGUACAAAUUCUCCAUUGUGCAAUUUUUCCAGAAAAGCAGGGUUUUCCAAGAAAACAGAGCACUCUCAGUGUGACAAUAAUGUUGCUACAGUAACGGAAAUACGAUGAGGAGAAGUUGAGUGGAAUGGAUGAUACAAGCAUCUUCUCUUCCACUAGGGAGGAUUUUGCAGGCUCUUGAUUAAGGCAACACAUGCCAUUGAACUUGUGAUAAACUUCUCCCUAAUUUGUCAGUUUCAACAUCUGAUUCAUUUUUUAUUUAUAUUUAUUUGUCACACCCAAUCUCAUAAUAGUUUCAGCCUAUAAUUUGACUUCAACCUAACUCAACCUCAAAAGUUGAGUUAUAAAAUAAGGUUUAUCUUCACUUGUAUACUAUAAUUUGAUCAUAUCUCUAACCAUUACGUAUGCAUAGCCAACCAAAAUUGUUCAUGUAUCUUUCUAACAAUCUAAAGUUAUUAACAACCAAAUUGCACUAAACCAGUAACAAUUUCCGGAACACAACACAAAGGAAUGCCGAAGCGAGAAGAUGAGAACCUCAAAUGGCGAAAAACCGCGGCGGCAACUGCCCCCGACCGCGGGAACUGCCAGCCACUCCACACUUGAAUAGGAAGAUACACGUCAACCAGCAGCACAACCCUAGGCGACUCGACGCACACCACGCGUGCGUCAACUUUGGCGCACUUGCGAGUGACCAUAGCGUGGAGCUGGUGAACCACGCUCAUGCUCCCAUUCACCAUCCCAACGCUGUGCGUCCUCUUGGUUUUCGAUCCUCCGCCGCCGCCGCCGCCGCCGCAUUGAGACGAAUUCAGCACCGUAGACAAAACGACGCCGGUUUGGGAGCGGAACCCAACCUCGCCCCCGUCGCUUAAGAUUUCGCAGCGCUCAGCGAAGGCUGGAUCGGAGUCCCGCUCAGUGGCUGUGAGAACCGCAAAGAGGAAACCGCAGAGCUUGUGGUCCGCGAAGGAGGUGUCGCUGGACAUUGUGGGAAGGAACCGGAGAGCGUAAACUAGAGCAUAGAAUGCGGUGAUUCAAGAUUUGCACCGAAGACCAGAAAAUAAAAAUGAAGAGAAGAAGAAAAAAUUUGAGGAAGGAAAGAUUAAAGAAUCGUCCACAGUUUUUGAAACGAAGGAAAUAAGAAAAGAUAACAUUGAAUAAAAUGACAAAACGACGUUGUUUCAGUGGGUGAUGAUGACGUUGCUUCAGUGGGUGAUGAUGACGUUGUUUCAGAGUUUUAAAUUACCCUUUUGUCCUUUCUAAAUCCAUUAGAAUGGAAUUUUUUUAAUAUUAAUUCCACUUUUGGUUCUAAUAUAAAAUUCAAUUAAAAAUGUAAUUCUUAUAUGGCUAAUUAACUUCUUUAACUUCUAAAAAUAUUCAACUAAUUCAUUUUCACUAAAUUCGUAUUAAUAUUGUAUACAUACACAUCUUACACGGUUUUCAAAAUUUUUUAUUUUUAACUUGUUUAUCAUAUGUCAGACUGUAUGUAUUGUUGUGUCACCUGACACAUGAUAUGUGACGAUGACAAUUUAAAUUUAUUAUACAUCAACUUAAAAUAUAUAAUAUAUUUGGGAUACUAAAUUUAUAAAUAAGCUAACCAAGUAAAAUACAUUUUUUUUAAUUAUUUUAAAUAUUAAACUUUAAAAAUUAUAAGUCUUAUUUUAUAUUUACAUUUUUAUAUAUUAAAAAAAUAUAAGUUUAAAAUAGAAAUUUCCUUAUUAAAAUUAAAAAUGUAUAAAACUAAAUUAAUUUUAAUGUUUAGAGGAAUAAUUUGAUGUAGAAAUCUUAAAAGCAUUAUUUUAAUAUAUAAAUAUAUAUAUAUAUAUAUAUAUAUAUAUAAUAUUAAGUUUAAUUACUAAUUUUUCUUAUUUUAGUAAAUAAACUUGUUCUAUUAAAAAUUAGUAUUAAAUUGUAUUAAAAUUUUAAAUGUAGAAAAUAAAUUGAAUAGAAGUUAAUUUUAUGACACGACAAUAACUUAAUACGUAACGCAAUUUAACACUUGACAAAAUAAAUUCAAAAAAUAUUAAAACAAAAUUUAAAAUUAAAAAUAUUACAAGAUGUCAUGUAACGAAAAUGACUUAAUUGGAUAUUUUUUAAAAAUUAACAACUUAAUUGCAUUAAAUAAGAAUUACGAGCCUGUUUGGAAUUUUCAAAUAAAUAGGACUAAAUAAGCCAACUUGUGCUAUACAAUAGACUUGCUGAAUAGUGAGUGAAUACCCAACUAUGUGGAUUUCAGGACAAUUCCAGGAGUCAAACAAAUAUAGCAAGUUUAUUAUUAGUAUUUUGAUUUCUGCUUAUUAUUAUUAAUUGAAAUUAUUAUUAUUAUUAUAUUUAAUAUAUAAAUUAAUUUUAAUCUAUAAUAGUAAAUUAGUUUUAAUCCACUUUUAAUUGAAUGGAAUUAUUAUUAAAUAUAUAUCUAUUAUUUCUAAUUUCAUUACUUUUUUAUAAAAUUAAAUUAAAAUUAUUAUUACAAUUUAUUUUAUUACUUAAUUAAUUUUUUUCUAGUUGAGAAUAUUAAUUAUAUUUUCCGUUUUUAUUUUACUUCUUGCUUAAAUUAUUAAUUUUUAAUUAAAAUUAUUAUUACUAGUAAUGUUUAGUAAUAUAUAAAUCAAUUUUAAUCUAUAAAAGUAAAUUACUUUUAAUUCAAUUUUAUUUAAAUGGAAUUAUUAUUAAAUACAUACCUAUGAUUUUCAAUUUUAUUAUAUUCUUUUUUAAAGUAUCUAUUAUUUCCAAUUCACGUAAUUUUAUGAAAUAUUUUUAUUAAAUGGUUUAAAGUAUAUUAUUUAUAGAUAAAUUAUUAUUAUAUUUAUUAUUAUUUAUAGCAUAUCUAUAAAAAUAACACAGUGUGUUAAAAUUGUUUCUUUAAUUAAUUUUGAUAGUUUUGUUUAUUAUAUUUUGUUUGAAGUUUGAACAUUUCAUGUUUAAAAUUGUUCAAAAUUCUACAAAACCUAAUGCUACGUGUCAUCUUUAAAUAUUGUCAAAUGUCAAUAUACCAUCCAACCACUUAUUAAUAUUUUAAGUAUGUUAAAAUUCAUUUUUUAAAUAAUUUUGGUAUUUUUUAUUAUUGUGUUUGUUUUAAAUUUAAAAAAUUACAUUUUGUGAUAGUUUGAAGUGUAUUAUAUAUAGAUAAAUAAAUAAAUAGACAGGUAGAAUCAUCGACAUUAAUCAUUAUUCUUAAAAUUAACAAAGAAUAUCAUAAAAAUAAUCAAAUUGAAUUAUUUUUAAAACUUAAAGAAUUAAUGUCGAAGAAAAUAAAAGAUUAAACUAAACGAAAUCCAAGCUUUCGUUUGGAAUGGAAGGAUCGAAAUAAAAAUAGCAACAUAUAUUAAAAAUCAAAAUUAUAUAAAGACAUUCCAUUUUACUUUAUUAAAAUAAAAUAAUACAGCAAAAAAUACGAAUACAAUAACGUUGAUUUGGACUUGUAUUUUUUUAAUCUAUAAUUAUACAAAAAUAAUCAAAAUGAUUGUAUUUUUUUUAUGCAUAUUUCACUUUUGUAACAGUUUAUUUAAAUUUAAUUAUUACUUUUUAAAUAUUUAUUUAUUUAAAUUUAACUAAUUAAUUUUUUCAAACUAUUAAAUAAUAAACUACCUGAAAAAAAGGGACACACAUUCCCGACGGUUUUUUUUUUUUUUUUUAUCUCAGAUCAAAAGGAAUAUUAAAGUUAAUAAAACCAAAUUCUGAUUACAGAGAAAAAUCCAAGUUGAAGAAGUAAGUUAAGCGAAAAAUAAACAAGGAAUGGCUAGAGACAGCGUCCUCACUCGCGUGGCGACCGGAGCUGCCGUGGGCGGUGCUAUUGGCGGCGCAGUCGGUAAGAUUGUACCUCUUAUCCUCUGUUUGGUUACCUCCUUCUCACUAAGCCAAACACCGCACAUCUUUCGCUAUCUUCUUCGGUUAAUCUUGUCGAUAUUGAAAUUGGGUGUGUUGCAUACAGGUGCCGUUUAUGGGACUUACGAUGCAAUUAGGUAUAAGGUAUGUGAUUCAAUUCCUCUAUUUAUCUAAUGAUUAAUUGCAAAAGGCAAUUUGCCUCUUUUAUAAUUAGAUUGGGGGCGGUUAUGUCUCAAAAGACAAUGUUGAUGUUUUAAUCAAUGAAGAAUUGGGGGAAAAAAGGUUUGUUUGUUUUGCAUGAAGGAAAUCAUAUUGAAGCCAGAAGCUAUUGCAAUGGGACAUCAAGUUUGCUUCUGAUAUUUUUUUUUAACUUAUCUUAAACCCUAACUAAGUGUAAAAUUAAUGUAAUAUGAAGCUGCUAAUCUAGGGCCUUUGCAACUUCUUUAACUAAUUGUCAUUAUUAAGAGAACAGUUCUGAUGAGGAAUUUAACUGUUGAUUUUUUUUUCUUCUAGUAGAACUGAAUCAGAAUGUGGGCAAAAUGGAAGACUUAUUGAGUAAAUCCUUCUCUCUCUUGACUUGUGUCUCUAAAACACUUCCCCAUCCCAAAGUUUCACUUUGCAAUCAAGAUGAAAUUUAGUAUGUGAGAAUAUCAUUUCUUAGUCUACUGAAGUUAGUUUAUCACCAGUUCAUUACCUGUAGUUCAGUUACCUGAUGGUAAAUAAUUUCUCAAAUCCCCAUUAACCGUUUUAAAUGGAGUUAGAUUGCAGUUAGUUAGGCUUCAUGUACUAUAAAUAUAUGCUGUAAGCACAAACUCGGUACCAAUUUUACUACUUUCCUCAUUUUUCAAUCAACAGAAAGUUGUCUAAAAUUCUGUGUUUUCUCUAAACUCAACAUGACCAGUUAUUGUCAUGGCUUCAAUCUACCUGUUGCAAGCACAAGCUCGGUACCAAUUGUUUAUUUUUCAUAUUUUUAAUGCACAGAAAGUCCUCUAAAACUCUCUCUAUGUCUUCUUUGAACUCAAAAUAAGAGCCAUAUCAUCUACUCCUUAUAGAUCUUCCUUCAGUAAUUUUUUGACAGAAAUGAUUCAAGCUAUAUUUUAUCAUCCUUUACAUCAAAGCUCUUUCUUAUUGAGUUCAUUUUGUAUUUCUGCAUCAACGUAUCUCUCCAACUCCUCAUUGGCUUUCCAAAGUACCUUUGGUUCUGGCUAUUGCAGAUUCUAUCCCUGAACCUUCUGUUUGGGUUUAUUUCUCCCAGUUUCCUAGAGCGCAACCUAUAUAUUGUUGUUUUGGAUGAUUGAUAACUUCUAAAUGCAACCCUUUCUAAAUGCAAUCUAUAUAUCCAGUUCUUAUUAUCUUUUCACAUAGCGUAAUUCGUCGUCUUUGGUAAAGAAUCUACCCAGCACCUCUAAAUGUAGUCCUGACCUCUUCAAUCCAUUAAGAAAAACACUCCCACGAGUUAUUCAGGAUCGGUACUUUGCGAGGGUCUUGUGUAGUGUUGCUCAUGGGAUCCUUGGCAAGUGUUGUGAGGCCCAUUGUCAUAGGGAAAAUCUGAAGAUGAUAAGGUGAUAUACCUUUCCUGAAUGAUAAAAUUCACCUUGUACUGGGAUUUCCUUAUAAAAAAAAAAGAAACAAAUUUCUUACAUUGUAAAAUUAUGCCUAUUAGUAUUAUUUUAUAGUGUGUUUGGAUAGGGAAUUUAAAAAGGGAAAUUAAUCUUUAUAGAGAAUUUGAAAUGUUUUAUAACAAGACAGUGUUUCUCAUCUUGAUUUACAAUGUCGAAGAAAAGACAAGGAUAAUAAUAUACUCAUCAUUUUCAGGUUGUGGGUAGUUGAGUGUAUGCAAUUAUGAUGUUAGGAAGUAUCUUACGAAUUAACUAUUUUAGGGGCUCCUCAGUCCUUGUUGCAUAUGUAUCUAAUAUUCAAAUUUGGAUUACCUGUCAGUCAUAUGCAUGCGCAGCCGCGAGGCAUUUAAAGGAUUUAUCUAUUUAGUCUCUGUUGGCAUAUAUAUGUACACAUAUAUUCAACUGUUUGUCUGGUUUAUCUUGAGAGUGCAAUUGCUUGUAUUUAUGAGUUGAUGUAGCUUCCGUUGUUUAGUUUCUCAUAUUUGAUGUUGAAACCUUGCAGGUUCCUGGAUUCCUCAAGAUAAGGCAUAUUGGACAGACAACUCUAGGGAGUGCAGCUGUAUUUAGCCUGUUCCUUGCAGCAGGAACCUUGAUACGAUCGCACUAGUUUGUGCAGUCAUGGUGACGUGUUUUCUUACAAUUUUAGCCAACAAAAAAAUGUCAUGUAACCUCACAUUCUGUAAUCUUUUGAGUGUUGGAAUUAAAUAAAGAAUUUUUUAAUAUUAUAUACAUAUAAGAAACAUAUAAUUAAUUGAUUUCAUAUUUUAUUAUCUAUGCUAAUGUCAAGAAACUUUCUCUAUGUUGUGUUUCACUAGGUUAUCUAUUGUUAAUCUUGAUAUCUAGAAUCUACUAAUUCCUAAUUAUGAAAUUUUGUAUUUGAAAUUAUGGUUUAUCUGUUUAAACCUCACCUUUUUUAGUCUUCAUACUUUAAAAUGUGCCUAUACAGCUUAAAGUUCUGUUCUAGGGUUUUAAUGUAUUCACUGCUAAUGUAGGAUUUUUGAAAUGUGGGUCAGAGGCGUUAUGAUCCCUUAUUGUUAACUACACAAAUUUCCCUAGAGUAUCUAAUCAUGUCUUAUUGUUUAUAGAGUCUCGUAUCUUUAAUACUCUUUCUUAUAUAAAGCAUGUAUAUCACAAGAAUCAAAUGUGUUACGGAUAGAGAAAAAUUCAUUAUAGCUCAAGUUAUUUUGAUUAAAUGUUUACGUAAUAAAUUAUAAUAUAUGAAGGCAAUUUGUAUUUUAGCAUUAGAUCAUGACAGAUAAAAGUACUUUUUAGUGACAUCUUAAGCAUUUCACGGUAUAAUUCAAAUAUUAUAUUUAUUUUAUAUUGAAUAAUGUUUGUUCUAAUUGGCCUUACAAAAUUAGAUAUCUGAUUUUUAAGUAUUUCAUGGUAUAAUUCAAAUAUAGGUUGAAGUUUCUCAAGGAACUUAUUUAAACAAAAUAUCCAACUUAAAAAAUUGUUCACUUAAGCGUUUACCAAUCAAAAAAGAGAUGCUACAAAUAUCAAUAUAUUAUUUUUCACUUAAGGGUUUCCAAAUCAAAGAAGAGAAAUGCUAACAAAUAUCAAAACAUUCUUUGCUACUUUCUUUGAAGGCUUAUAGAAUUUCUACUCUCUAUUAAUAAUCAUGUCCAUUCUACUGUAAAGAAAAGCAUAAAAUUCACUGUUUUAAAUUGCGAUGGCAUUUCAUUGAUACAGUUUUGUUGAGAUCUUACCAUUGCAGAACACUAUCAGAUAUGGACAGAGAGCACAAAAACUUUGACAUUGUGACCUUUUCUUUAAAUAUUUGCACUAUAUACUUAAAAGAAUUCGAUUUAUACAUUAUUGACCGAUUAAAAAUUAAAAAUCCUGUAAGUUCAAUUUCAAAAUAAUUAUGGUAAAAGUCAAGUAAAUUAUAAUGCAUAAUAUGAUUGAAUGACGGUAUAUGGAAUGACCACCCUUUACAAAUCUAUUUACUCUACUAAAAAUACAUGUUUUUCUUUAUCAUAUUUAACAGUUUUACAUCACUUAAAAAUCGAAAUUUAAAAUAGUUUAAAUAUUCUUUUCUACUUUUUGAUACUUUUUUAAAGAUAAAAGUGUAAGAAGAAUUAUUUGUGUGUAUUUUGUAUGAUUUGAUUUCAGUGAUGUAAACUAUUCUUUUCUUUGUUUGGUUUGAUUGUGAAUGCAUGGAUUAAUAUAGGGAUGUGAUGUUUGAAUAAUGACCAAUGGAUUGGUAAUAACCUUCCUUUUUAAAAUAUUAUUAUUGGGUGAUACGAUACAUGUUUCUUUGCAUGUUAUGUUUUUAUUUACAAUGUUGAACCAACCUUGUUUUGAUGAAUAGACUUACUCACUAAAACAAGACUUGUCUCUUCAUCAAAAUCGAACGUACUAAAGUAUUAAAAUUAAAAAAUUUAUAAAAUAUAUCUUAUAUAAAAGAGAUUUAAAGGUUGAGAAAAGAAAUAAUAAAAUUUUUAAAUUUAUAAUUAAAUUUGAAUGUAAUGUUUAUAUAUUUAAAAAGUUUUUAAAGUAUACAAAGGUUUAGUAGACAAAAAAAUUCUUACUCAUAAGAAAUGACAUACUUUAAACACAGUGAUAUUUUAAUAAUUUUUAUUUUUAAUUAAAAUAUCAGCAUCACUCACUCCACUUCCCUCGUUUAUCCAAUUUGUUUCUCUCUCAUCUUUAUUCUUUUUCUCACUCACACACAACAACACGUCACACUCCAAUUCGUUUAACUAAUUGGAGUGUCACUUUAAUAACCAAAUAAUCUAUGAUGUUGAUUUUUUAUUGAAGGGUUGUGUUAUAUCUUUUUCCUUUUCAUUGCCAUAACCAAAUAGUUUAUGAGGUUUGAUACUUUGACUAUUAUUUGGCCUCCUUUGUUUGGUCGCUUCCUUUAUUUGUUUUGCAAAACAUUUAAUAACGAAAUAAAUGAUAUGCUUUAAAAGUUAAAAUCAUGUUGAUUUGCAAGGUGGAAAAUCAUGUUGAUUUGCAAGGUGGAAAAUCAUUACUGAUGUGAAAAAUCAUUACUUAUGUUUAUUUUAUUUUAGUAUAUUUUUAGGUUGGACUUUUCUCUAAAUUUUCAUAAGCAUAAUAACAUCCGAAGGAAUUGGUAAUUGGCCUGGAGUGCUUUUUAGAGAUGAUGAUUCAACAUCCGAAGAUGAUAAGAUUGGAGAGGAGAGGUUCGUAAAGACGAUGAAAUUGAAGAGGUCUUGAAUGAACCUUUGCCUAAAAGGGAAAAUGUCAAUGAACUCUUUACAAAGGUGAAUGGUUUAACAGCAACGCAAAUGCUUACAAUUUGUAUUGUUUAUUUGCAAAGACUUGUGGUUUUUCAGUUAGACGUGGUCAUAAUUACAAACGAAACAAGAAUAACAUUAAAGAUAUAUAGAAGAGAGUUUAUUUGUCACCGAAACAAGUGUUGUUAAACAAAAAAAAAAUACUGUUACAUCUUGAACUUGAACUUUUUCGCUUCCUUUGUUUUUCUACUUUCAGUAAUUUCUUUUUGUUUAAAGACACUUGUUAGAUGACAAGUAAACUCUCUUUUGUAUAUAUCUUCAAUGUUAUUUUAGUUUCGUUUAUAACUAUGAUCACAUCUAAGUGAAAACCAC
rnacentral:lncRNA from 1 species